ACCGUGCAAAGGUAGCAUAAUCAUUAGUUUUUUAAUUGAAAGCUGGUAUGAAUGGUUGGACGAGAAAAUAACUGUCUCAAUUUAAUUUAAUUAGAAUUUUAUUUUUAAGUUAAAAAGCUUAAAUAAUUUUAAAAGACGAGAAGACCCUAUAGAGUUUUAUAUUUUCAUAUUUAUAAAUGUUUAGGAAUUAAUUUAUAUAUAAGUAUACAAGUAUUUUGUUGGGGUGACAGAAAAAUUCAAGGAACUUUUUUUUUUAUUAUUACAUUAAUUUAUGAUUUUAUGAUCCACUAUAUAGUGACUAUAAGAUUAAAUUACCUUAGGGAUAACAGCGUAAUUUUUUUUGAGAGUUCUAAUCGAAAAAAGAGUUU
rnacentral:rRNA from 1 species